UAAAAAGAGUGAAAGUGAGAGAAAAACUUUAAAGAGAAUUUUAACAUAUGGUUGAAAAGUUGUCAUAAAUAGAGGAAAUUUAAAAAGGCAAAAAAAAUUAAAUGGGGUUGAAAUUUAAAUAUAAAGUAUAUUUACAACAAAUAAGUUAAGGGCUCGAGUCACGUGAUAGGUCAGGUAAUAAUAACUUUAGGAGUUAGAAUUACGUUGCCGGUCGAAUGAGAACGUUAUUGAGAGUUUGAAUCACGUUGACGAUCAGAUGAGGACGUUAUAAGGUGAGAUGAUAUAUAUAUAUAUAU
rnacentral:lncRNA from 1 species